UGCGUAGGUCCCGAGCGUUGUCCGGAUUUAUUGGGCGUAAAGCGAGCGCAGGUGGUUUAUUAAGUCUGGUGUAAAAGGCAGUGGCUCAACCAUUGUAUGCAUUGGAAACUGGUAGACUUGAGUGCAGGAGAGGAGAGUGGAAUUCCAUGUGUAGCGGUGAAAUGCGUAGAUAUAUGGAGGAACACCGGUGGCGAAAGCGACUCUCUGGCCUGUAACUGACACUGAGGCUCGAAAGCGUGGGGAGCAAACAGG
rnacentral:rRNA from 1 species